UCCCAAACCCAAUGUGAACCAUACCAAACUGUUGCCUCGGCGGGGUCACGCCCCGGGUGCGUCGCAGCCCCGGAACCAGGCGCCCGCCGGAGGGACCAACCAAACUCUUUUCUGUAGUCCCCUCGCGGACGUUAUUUCUUACAGCUCUGAGCAAAAAUUCAAAAUGAAUCAAAACUUUCAACAACGGAUCUCUUGGUUCUGGCAUCGAUGAAGAACGCAGCGAAAUGCGAUAAGUAAUGUGAAUUGCAGAAUUCAGUGAAUCAUCGAAUCUUUGAACGCACAUUGCGCCCGCCAGUAUUCUGGCGGGCAUGCCUGUCCGAGCGUCAUUUCAACCCUCGAACCCCUCCGGGGGGUCGGCGUUGGGGAUCGGGAACCCCUAAGACGGGAUCCCGGCCCCGAAAUACAGUGGCGGUCUCGCCGCAGCCUCUCCUGCGCAGUAGUUUGCACAACUCGCACCGGGAGCGCGGCGCGUCCACGUCCGUAAAACACCCAACUUCUGAAAUGUUGACCUCGGAUCAGGUAGGAAUACCCGCUGAACUUAAGCAUAUCAAUAAGCCGAA
rnacentral:rRNA from 1 species